GAAGGAGGAGACCUCGGAAAUGAUGACUGUUGUGUCGAAACGUGCAUUGUGGAGAUGGGGGCCAAUUCGUUUGCGCGCCGUAACAAUACAUAUCAUUUUUCGCGAUAAUUUGUGCUAAUUAUAUCAUGUACUGUAU
ensembl:ncRNA C25B8.10 ncRNA